CCUUUGCAUUUUGACGCUUUUCUCACUGUCUUCAAACCCCUCUCCUCUCCCAAACUCCUGCAAUUCUAUCAUAUCAAUCCACGAAAUGAAAAACCCAGAUCCGAUUUUCAACGAUAUUCUCUAAAAUCAAGAAAAAAUUUCGAUCGAUUCGACGGCCUGGGGCGGGUGGGAAGCCUUUUCUGGAGCUGGGUUUGGGUAGAAGCGAUUAGAGAUUUCAAAAUCACACGAAAAUCUCAUUUGACUUUUGUUUUUUGAAGGAUUUGGGAUCUGGGUUUGAUCGGAAUAGAGUGGAGAUGGAUUGCUUGAGUUGGUUUGGAUUGAUUCGGCGGACCUCUGGAGAAGCAAUGUGAAACGGGUUGGGUUGGAAUUUUGGAGUUUGAGGGUGUUUGUUUUGGACAAAAAAGGUGUGAUGGAGAUAUCGUGGUUAAAGGCUUUGCUUGACAGCAUCUCUCAAUUCAGUCUUUCUUCAUCAUCAUGUAACAAUAUAACAUCUGAACCGGUUCGGAAAUACUACCAAAAGAUAGAUGAAGCUUUGGAGCUCUUGAGGCCAGUGCUUGAUGAAAUUGUCGAUUCCGAGAUAGCUUCAGAUGACCACCUCAGUAAGGCAUUGGAAGAAAUGGAUGCAUUUGUCAAUGAAGCGAGGGAACUCAUUGAAAGCUGGCACCAGAUGAUGAGUAAAGUUUAUUUUGUUUUGCAAAUCGAAUCAACAAUAGCAAAGAUUCAGACAUCCGGGUCAGAGAUUUGCAGGAUAGUGGAUUCUUUGCUUCAGUCUCUGGCUGACUGUUCAAAUACAGCAUUUGUUCAGAACCAUAUACAGAAAAUUCAGUGCACUGAAUAUGAAAAAACAUCUGAUGCAAUCGAAGAAGCCAUGCAUGAUCUACAAGAGGAUGCCACACCAAACUUGGAGACCUUGUCGAAGAUCACGGACACCUUGAACUUGAGGUCGAAUCAGGAACUGCUACUGGAAGCUGUGGCCCUCGAGAUGGCAAAGUCCGAUCGCGACAGGAAUGACGGAGAGGCGGAACGCAUUGAUAAUAUGAUCUCGCUGGUCACGCACAUGCAUGACUCCCUCAUGAAAGUAAAACAAUCUCAGACUGUUAAUGGGGUGCCGAUUCCGGCCGAUUUCUGCUGUCCGCUUUCUCUCGAGCUGAUGUCCGACCCAGUGAUUGUUGCAUCCGGGCAAACCUAUGAGCGGGCCUUCAUUCGGAGAUGGCUCGAUCAGGGCUUUAUGGUUUGCCCCAAGACACGUCAAACUCUUGCUCAUACCAAUCUAAUUCCGAAUUAUACCGUUAAAGCGCUAAUAGCAAACUGGUGUGAGAUAAACAACAUAAAGCUUCCUGAUCCGAUGAAGUCAGUGACAUUAAACCAGCCCUUGGCUCUUCUUGCCCAUCCAGAUGGCAGCACUGGAGAUUCCCAUAUCCUUCCUCAUACGGGCCAUGCCUCCAGAACGAACCAUCCCAGAUCACCUGAAUCGAUUCGGUCCAUGAAUUUGCAUAAGAGCUUCACUUCGUCUAAUGGGGCCCAGUCAAAUAACAGACCUGUCUCUCCUUCACGUCCUGAUUCAUGCAUGGAAGGUACGUUGGUUAGUCGGCCAGGCGCAUCUUUGGUUGCAGGGAAUGGGGUUGAGACAGAUAUCGUCCGGGUAUCGCAAGUAGGUUCUGGAGAUGCAGAAGUGAUAUCGGAAGAGCAAGAUGUGGGUUCAGUGGGCCAAACUAGUGCAGUCAAUGAGCAGUCUCAGGGCCAUAACCGAACUGCUUCUGCCCCGAGCGUUGUUUCUAGUAGUGAGUAUCAUCAGGGAUCGGGAGAUGCCAGUGAGGGCCCACCUGUUUCAGGCGACCUCACGCAUUACAGCAGUGACACGUCUGGGGAACUGACAUCAGAGGCCCCCGCACCAUCUGCUCCACGUAGAGAACCUGAAUUCUCACCCAGGUUGUCUGAGAUGCGGUCAACUAGAAGCCAGAUCAUUUGGCCAAGGCCACUGGAAAGGUUUGUCCCGAGGAUUAUUUCUUCUCCGUCUUUGGAUAUGAGACCUGACCUCUCUGGCGUUGAAGCCCAGGUUCGGAACUUGAUCGAAGACCUGGAGAGCAGCUCGGCUGAUGUUCUAAGGGCAGCCACGCAUGAGCUUCGCCUUCUUGCAAAGCACAACAUGGACAACCGCAUCGUGAUAGCCAACUGUGGGGCCAUCACCCAUCUGGUCCAUCUGCUGCACUCGACGGACUUGAAGACCCAAGAGAACGCUGUGACUGCGCUGCUGAACCUAUCGAUCAACGAUAACAACAAGAUGGCAAUUGCCGAUGCGGGGGCCAUCGACCCGCUUAUCCACGUCCUCAAGAUGGGGAAUGCGGAAGCGAAAGAGAACUCUGCUGCGACCCUUUUCAGCCUCUCUGUCAUUGAGACGAACAAGGUCAAGAUCGGGCGGUCUGGCGCGGUCGAGCCCCUCGUGGAAUUGCUGGGCAACGGAACUCCUCGAGGGAAGAAGGAUGCUGCAACGGCUCUGUUUAACUUAUCCAUAUUUCACGAGAACAAGCUCCGUAUUGUGGAUGCCGGGGCUGUGAAGUACCUUGUUGAGCUGAUGGACCCCGCUGCAGGUAUGGUAGAUAAGGCGGUUGCUGUUUUGGCUAACCUUUCCACCAUACAGGAGGGGCGGACUGCAAUUGGCCAGGAAGGGGGAAUCCCGGUUCUUGUGGAGGUUGUUGAGUUGGGAUCAUCAAGAGGGAAGGAGAAUGCUGCAGCGGCUUUGCUACAGCUUUGUACAAACAGCAAUCGAUUCUGUACUCAGGUUCUCCAGGAAGGUGCCGUGCCGCCAUUGGUGGCAUUGUCGCAGUCUGGGACUCCGCGAGCCAGAGAAAAGGAUGAGUGAAUCAGCCUAUUUUCAUUCAAGGCGAUCUUCUUGGUGUGGCCCACCCUCUGCACGACUCAGAUGUCCAAAAAUGUGGAACAUGCUGGUGGGAAUGUUGGGGCUGCAUGCGCAACAUCUUCUUACCUAUUUCAGACAGCGACAUGGUAAUGCUGCGAGGUCUUGAUAUAUGGCAGAAUGUCCGUGCCCAGCUGCUGUCUCUCUUUCUCUCUCUCUUUAUGUCUGAACCAUGUAUAUCUAUCGGUGCUCUGGGCCAUGUGUUUGGUAGGUACGAAAAAAGCAUGAAUUCCGCCGAAUGUUGCAGGGCUAGACCCGUGUUAGUUCUGCACCGUUGAGAAAAUGACAGUGAUUCAUCCUCCUCACAUGUGGCACUAGCGUACAGCUAUCCAGACCAUCCAAAUUGUGGGUCCCAUCGUGGAUGGAUCAUCUCUCUAAAAUCACUUGUUCAUCCAAUUGAUGGUUAAAAAGUAAAAUGGUGAGUGGUCCAAAUUCAGAGGGAGAAAUCAAAUGGCUAAUGAUAUCAUCUAAGUGCAAUUUUUUGGUUAUCCUUGAUCCACAGUUGGGUCAGCGAAUUGGGUGGUCUGGGUUGCCGUAUUGCUAUGCCAGUUGUAGGUUUGAAGAAUCACUACCAUUUACAUGUUGGGGUCCAGCCACUGUCGCAAUGCUAGCCGUGAAAAAAAAGAAAAGAAUAGAAAAAAAGAAUGAGCUUUUUUGGGUGUCUUUGAUUUGUAAAAACGAUUUGUAGAGCGUUGGUUCGAAGUCCGCUGAUUAUUUCUUCCGAAUGAAUCGGUGUAUGUGCAAUAUGUAUGUGGUGAAAACUACAACAUGACUGUCGCUGUUUUCAGCUUUGUAAUAUGAUGGGUGAUUAGUAAUUCUUUUGUA